UAGAUGCGAGAGUAGAGCAUAUCAAUAAGCGGAGGAAAAGAAACUAACUAGGAUUCCCUUAGUAACGGCGAGUGAAGCGGGAAGAGCUCAAAUUUGAAAUCUUCAAGGUUUACCUUGACGAAUUGUAGUUUAAAGAAGUGUUUUCUGUUGGAGUUUUGGUAAAAGUUCUUUGGAAUAGGACAUCAUAGAGGGUGAGAAUCCCGUAUUUGACCAUUAUUUCCAGCUGUGUGAUACACUUUCAAAGAGUCGGAUUGUUUGGGAAUGCAGUCCAAAAUGGGUGGUAAAUUUCAUCUAAAGCUAAAUAUUGGCGAGAGACCGAUAGCGAACAAGUACCGUGAGGGAAAGAUGAAAAGAACUUUGAAAAGAGAGUUAAACAGUACGUGAAAUUGUCAAAAGGGAAGCGUUUGACACCAGUGUUGUUUAGUUGAAAAUCAAUUCAAUAGUUUUUGAUUUUGAGUAGUAUUGACUUCAUCAGCUUGCUGCUCUCUUUUCGGAAAUUAUUGAAUGCACUUUUCAGUUAACAAGUCAACAUCAAUUUCUUUUGUUGUAAAAGGGUAAGAGGAAGGUGGCUUACGUUUCGGCGUAAGUGUUUAUAGCCUUUUACCUCUGCAAUCGGAGAGAUUGAGGACAGCAGCGUAGAUCCUUCGGGGUUAGAUACACUUGUGCUAAGCUAUAGCCUUGUAUAGACAACUUGUUGACUAUGCUCAGUCAUGUAGCUUACUCGCUUGUGCUAUUUUACCUACGCUUAGGAUGUUGACGCGCGUGUGUGCGUG
rnacentral:rRNA from 1 species